rnacentral:rRNA from 1 species
UACGUAGGGGGCAAGCGUUGUCCGGAUUUAUUGGGCGUAAAGAGCGUGUAGGCGGCUUGGCAAGUCCGCUGUGGAAAACUUGAGGCUUAACCUCGAGACGUCGGUGGAAACUGCCUGGCUAGAGUCCGGAAGAGGAGAGUGGAAUUCCUGGUGUAGCGGUGAAAUGCGUAGAUAUCAGGAGGAACACCUGCGGUGUAGACGGCUUCUGGACCAUUGUUGACGCUGAGACACGAAAGCGUGGGUAGCAAACAGG